rnacentral:tRNA from 1 species
UGGGACGUUAGUAAAUUAAUUACAUAGUCUUGUCAAGACUAAAUAGCAGGUGAAACCCCAGCACAUCCCAC